rnacentral:rRNA from 1 species
AACGAACGCUGGCGGCAUGCCUAACACAUGCAAGUCGAACGAGACCUACGGGUCUAGUGGCGCACGGGUGCGUAACGCGUGGGAAUCUGCCCUUGGGUUCGGAAUAACUUCGGGAAACUGAAGCUAAUACCGGAUGAUGACGUAAGUCCAAAGAUUUAUCGCCCAAGGAUGAGCCCGCGUAGGAUUAGCUAGUUGGUGAGGUAAAGGCUCACCAAGGCGACGAUCCUUAGCUGGUCUGAGAGGAUGAUCAGCCACACUGGGACUGGGACACGGCCCAGACUCCUACGGGAGGCAGCAGUGGGGAAUAUUGGACAAUGGGCGAAAGCCUGAUCCAGCAAUGCCGCGUGAGUGAUGAAGGCCUUAGGGUUGUAAAGCUCUUUUACCCGGGAUGAUAAUGACAGUACCGGGAGAAUAAGCUCCGGCUAACUCCGUGCCAGCAGCCGCGGUAAU